UUUAUCGGAGAGUUUGAUCCUGGCUCAGGACGAACGCUGGCGGCGUGCCUAAUACAUGCAAGUCGAGCGGACAGAUGGGAGCUUGCUCCCUGAUGUUAGCGGCGGACGGGUGAGUAACACGUGGGUAACCUGCCUGUAAGACUGGGAUAACUCCGGGAAACCGGGGCUAAUACCGGAUGGUUGUCUGAACCGCAUGGUUCAGACAUAAAAGGUGGCUUCGGCUACCACUUACAGAUGGACCCGCGGCGCAUUAGCUAGUUGGUGAGGUAACGGCUCACCAAGGCGACGAUGCGUAGCCGACCUGAGAGGGUGAUCGGCCACACUGGGACUGAGACACGGCCCAGACUCCUACGGGAGGCAGCAGUAGGGAAUCUUCCGCAAUGGACGAAAGUCUGACGGAGCAACGCCGCGU
rnacentral:rRNA from 1 species